rnacentral:tRNA from 1 species
CUUAGUUUAUUAUAUUAGGAGUAUAAUAGUUUUUCGUACUUUUGGAGCAAAUUAUUUGCAGCUAAGU